rnacentral:misc_RNA from 1 species
AAAUGCCCUGCAAAAAGUUGAGGUAUAGACUCUCACCGCUUUUCAUGCUAUGCUUUCAUGGUGAGAUCACUCAGAUUGACAAUCUGAAUCUAUUAUAGCCAAGUGGUCAUAUUAUAUUAAGAGACAUGUAUUAAGGUGUUGAGAAUUACUGCUUGCUAGCCUACUAACUUUUAUAAAUUAGGAAAAAGGAUAAAAAGAAUAAUAGAUAGAGAUAAUAUAUCUAUUUUAUUUUAUUUUUCAAGCAC